AGACGGAGAGGGAGGGUGAACAAGAGGGGAACGGAAGAGGAUGGCUUUUGCCUUUUCUGGUAGCUACAUUGAACGAGAGAAGCUCUUUGUGUUGGAAGUGGUGCUGAGACAGAAACGGGGAGAGAGCGACUGGAAGGCUGGAAUGGUGUGAGAGCACAGAAGUCGUCUCCUCCAGGGCUUUUCGUUAUUGUAGUAAGGGCCACACCUCCAGGACUGAACCAUGGAUGACGACUUUGAGUGGCGCAGGGAGCAGAGGAGACAGAAAAGAGAGGAGAUGCGGCUGGAAGCAGAAAGGCUGGCUUACCGCCGGACUGAGGAGGAUGAGGAAGAGGCAGCUCGUGAGCGUCGACGACGGGCACGCCAAGAGCGUAUGCGAAGCAAGGAGGGCGAGGAGGUCGCUAACCCAGCCGAGAGUGUGGGGCUGAAUAGCCACAGUAUCACAGUAACUGAGACGAUCUCAAGCCGGGCCGGUGAGGGAGAUGAUGAGGAGCAGGCCCUGCUCGAGCGCCUGGCCAAGCGGGAGGAGCGCAGGCAGAGGAGAAUGAAGGAGGCUCUUGACAGGCAGAAACAGCUGGAGUCCACGGAUGCUCCAUCCUACAGCUCCUACAGUGUGGAGAGCUCCUAUACCGCCUCUUACCAAGCAGUCAACAACCAGGAGGAGGAGCCGGCAUUCAACAGCAAGGAGGAAGUGAAAGAGGAGGUGGAGAUCGUUCCACAGAAAGGGGUGGAGGAGGAGAAGCCGUGCAGGCCUUCCUUGAGGGAGCAGGAAUCUACUGAGGAAAAGGCUAAAAUAGAUGAUGAGGGCGGUACAGGUCAGGAUGCCGUGCGUCCGAGUGAAAAAUGCAAGCCUUUAAAUGAAGACCUAACUGAUUCUACAAUCAUUUCAAAGCAGGAAGUGGAGGAGGAUGCAGCACAAGUCGAUGAGGAUGUAGAGGAGAAUGAGUUAGAGAUGGAGGAUGAGGACGCAGGGAGGAAGAGCAAGCAGCAGAACGGGGGAGUUUAUGAGGACAGCAAGCACAAAAAGGUGGAGAGAACCCAAAGCCGUGGCAGCGUGCACUCUUCUGAGGGUCUGGCAGCAGAGGAAGGGGACGACGGGGAGCAAACACGCCUGGAGGCUGAGAGGAAGCUGGAGGAGCUGAAGAGGAGGAGAGACGAGACGGAGAACGAGGAGUUUGAGAGGAUGAAACACAAGCAGCAGGAGGCUGAGGCCGAGCUGGAGGAGCUGAAAAGAAAGCGGGAGGAAAGGAGGAAGGUGCUGGAAGAGGAAGAGAGGCUGAAGAAGCAAGAGGAGGCUGACAGGAAGGCAAGAGAGGAGGAGGAGAAGAGGAGGAUGAAGGAGGAAAUAGAGAGGAGAAGAGCGGAGGCGGCUGAACGGAGACAGAAGGUCGGAGAGGAGAUUGACGGAGAAGCCAGCAAGCCCUUUAAGUGCGUGAGCCCCCGAGGAUCCUCUCUGAAGAUUGGUGAAAGGGCAGAAUUCCUCAACAGGUCAGCGCAGAAGAGCGCCGUGAAGACGUCUCACUCUCCCGUUGUGUCCAAGAUUGAUAACCGAUUGGAGCAGUACACCACGGCUGUGCAGAGUAAUAAAGAGGUGCGCUCGCCACGUGUGGCUGCGAUGGACCUACCCGUGGUUUCUGAUGGCGUGCGGAACAUUAAGAGCAUGUGGGAGAAGGGCAACGUUUUCAGCUCCACCAUCAGCACACCCUCCAGCAACAAGGAUGCAGCUGGAAUAAAGGUGGGCGUUGCAGGUCGCAUCAACGAUUGGCUGAAUAAAACACCAGAGACGAGCAAAACGCCAGGAGGAAGACCUGUGGACCUGAAACCUGGUGAUGUAACUGGCAAGCGUAAUCUAUGGGAAAACAAAAGCUCCUCUGCUGCCAAGACUUCUUCCUGCUAGUUGCCUUCAGAUUUGGCUCCUUGAGGAGGUGACGAGCAGAGGAGAUUGCAAAUCUGUUGCCAAUGGAAUGGGUCAUUAACCUUUCCAAGAAGCCACAGCAGCAGGGACCAAGUGAAAGUACCAUAUUCUUUCCACAUGCAUGUACUUGUACCAAAAAUACCAAAAGUAGUCUUCUGCGUUUUUUUUCUAUGGCCCAGACACAUCUCAAAGAUGAGGUAGAGAUAAAAGAAAGUCUUUUUUUUUUUUUUUUACCAUGCAGUCAAAGUCCUCCAGACCGCAUGGUCCUGAUUUACAGAGUAGUGUUUCACAUAAAGCUACUUUUAUAGCGUGGAGUGUGGACACUUAAACCAACUGAAAAUCCUGAGCAGUUCUAAAACGACCCAUUUCCUUUAGAUUGAUUGAUUAGAGAUGUAUUUAAAUAUCUUGCAUAAUUUCACACAAUUUUAAACAGCUCAUGUGUUGCUUUUUUAGAAUCUCUUCUCUGCUAGUCACCCUUCACACCUUUUAAUUUAUAAUUAAAGCAAAGCUUGACACAUAUUUUAUUCAUGUUCACCAGUCCAGGGCAAAAUAUGGGCACCCAUAGAGUAGUGUAUUUUUUACUUUUUUUUUUUUUUUUUGUCAAAGUGACACAUUUUUAAUUGUGAAACUAUGGUCUUAAUAUAUGUUAGCACAGUGUAUGUUUUGUAAUUAACUAUAUAUUUUGUAUGUUGCCACUUUAUAUAAAAUGAUUCUUGCUUCUGCUCUCAAUAUUAUUGGAUCGGAAUACAGCCAUUAUAGACAUUCAUGAUUAUUAUUACAGUAUCUUUUAUUCAGUUUUGUUCAAGUACUUUUUAGUCAGUAUAUUCAACAUGACGUAUCAGGUUUCAAGUAGACAUAAAUGCUUUGUUCCGCACUCAGUAAAGGGAACAUAAAAGACUUUCACGAACAUUUCUGUGCAUAUAAUGCUCGCUUGAUUUUGCCAUUUAUCAUUUUGAAACUGUGUUCAGUAUGUAAAAGGACAGAUGGCUCUAAGCCAUUACUUCGGACCAAUAAAUGUUUUUUUUUCUUUCUUUUUGUUAUUGUUUUCACCCUUCAGCACUUCAUUUAGAGUAGAAUACUAGAUAUUGUCAACAGUGUAAUUGGACUGUAAGUAUGUGCUGGUGGGCAAACAGUCAUUGGCUUCUUGAAUCAGCAGGUCUCAUUGGUUAAUGGUUGUGACUGACUGGCGUAUGUGUUUGUGGCUUGUGUUGUGUUGUUGGGGUCCCCCCCCCCCCCCCCCCCCCCCCCCCCCAUUUAGUAUUUUGGUUCAUGUUUUAAAAUGUGAAAACUUCUGAGUUUUGGUCUUUGACAAUCAAUUACAAGACAGUGUUGUAUUCUAUAUGCUCCAUAAUGAACCUUGACUGUAUUGGGGUAAUUCUUUACAAAUCAUGCCAACUUUUAAUUCUUUACCUUUUUAACACUAACCAUUUAUUGUAACCAAGUUUCACACAGGGCAUCUUUUUAAAUAUUGUAUCAUUGUCUCAAAACAGCAAUAAAGAGAUCAGUGUUUAAA